rnacentral:rRNA from 1 species
UGGAGACAUAGCGGAGUAUUCGGGAGACAGGUGGUGCAUGGUUGUCGUCAGCUCGUGUCGUGAGAUGUUGGGUUAAGUCCCGCAACCGAGCGCAACCCCUAUUGCUAGUUACCAUCAUUAAGUUGGGACUCUAGCGAGACUGCCAGUGAUAAACUGGAGGAAGUGGGGAUGACGUCAAAAUCAUCAUGCCCCUUAUGACCUGGGCUACAAACGUGAUACAAUGGCUGGAACAAAGGGAGGCGAAGGGGUGACCUGGAGCGAAACUCAAAAAACAGUCUCAGUUCGGAUUGAAGUCUGCAACUCGACUUCAUGAAGUCGGAAUCGCUAGUAAUCGCGGAUCAGAACGCCGCGGUGAAUACGUUCUCGGGUUU